rnacentral:rRNA from 1 species
UAGAUACCCUGGUAGUCCACGCCGUAAACGAUGUCGACUAGCCGUUGGGCUCCUUGAGAGCUUGGUGGCGCAGCUAACGCAUUAAGUCGACCGCCUGGGGAGUACGGCCGCAAGGUUAAAACUCAAAUGAAUUGACGGGGGCCCGCACAAGCGGUGGAGCAUGUGGUUUAAUUCGAAGCAACGCGAAGAACCUUACCUGGCCUUGACAUCCUGCGAACCUUUCAGAGAUGAGAGGGUGCCUUCGGGAACG